rnacentral:rRNA from 1 species
AUUGAACGCUGGCGGAAUGCUUUACACAUGCAAGUCGAACGAUGAUUUCUAGCUUGCUAGAAUGAUUAGUGGCGAACGGGUGAGUAAUGUAUCGGAACGUAUCCAAUAAUGGGGGAUAACUAAUCGAAAGGUUGGCUAAUACCGCAUACGCCCUACGGGGGAAAGCAGGGGAUCUUCGGACCUCGCGCGAUUGGAGCGGCCGAUAUCAGAUUAGGUAGUUGGUGGGGUAAAGGCUCACCAAGCCAACGAUCUGUAGCUGGUCUGAGAGGACGACCAGCCACACUGGAACUGAGACACGGUCCAGACUCCUACGGGAGGCAGCAGUGGGGAAUUUUGGACAAUGGGCGCAAGCCUGAUCCAGCAAUGCCGCGUGCAGGAAGAAGGCCUUCGGGUUGUAAACUGCUUUUGUACGGAACGAAAAGGUCUGGGUUAAUACCCUGGGCUCAUGACGGUACCGUAAGAAUAAGCACCGGCUAACUACGUG